GCAUAUCAAUAAGCGGAGGAAAAGAAACCAACAGGGAUUGCCCUAGUAACGGCGAGUGAAGCGGCAACAGCUCAAAUUUGAAAUCUGGCGUCUUUGGCGUCCGAGUUGUAAUUUGCAGAGGGCGCUUUGGCAUUGGCAGCGGUCCAAGUUCCUUGGAACAGGACGUCACAGAGGGUGAGAAUCCCGUACGUGGUCGCUAGCCUUUACCGUGUAAAGCCCCUUCGACGAGUCGAGUUGUUUGGGAAUGCAGCUCUAAAUGGGAGGUAAAUUUCUUCUAAAGCUAAAUACUGGCCAGAGACCGAUAGCGCACAAGUAGAGUGAUCGAAAGAUGAAAAGCACUUUGGAAAGAGAGUUAAAAAGCACGUGAAAUUGUUGAAAGGGAAGCGCUUGCAGCCAGACUUGCCUGUAGUUGCUCAUCUAGGUUUCUACCUAGUGCACUCUUCUAUAGGCAGGCCAGCAUCAGUUUGGGCGGUUGGAUAAAGGUCUCUGUCAUGUACCUCUCUUCGGGGAGAACUUAUAGGGGAGACGACAUGCAACCAGCCUGGACUGAGGUCCGCGCAUCUGCUAGGAU
rnacentral:rRNA from 1 species